rnacentral:rRNA from 1 species
UUAUGGAGAGUUUGAUCCUGGCUCAGGACGAACGCUGGCGGCGUGCUUAACACAUGCAAGUCGAACGGAAAGGCCUAGCUUGCUAGGUACUCGAGUGGCGAACGGGUGAGUAACACGUGGGUGAUCUACCUCGUACUUCGGGAUAAGCCUGGGAAACUGGGUCUAAUACUGGAUAGGACCAUGCUUUAGUGUGUGUGGUGGAAAGUUUUUUCGGUACGAGAUGAGCCCGCGGCCUAUCAGCUUGUUGGUGGGGUA